AGUGUGUGCAAGGGAGUGGGAGGACAUCGGGGGUGGGGGGAGGCGUUCCGGUCCCCAAGAGACCCUCAGAGGGAGGUGGAGGCUGUGAGGGAGUCCAGGAAGCCAUGGAUUUUGAGAGGCUCCAGAAGGCGCUGGAAGAUUUUGAGAAGAGGGGGAAAAGGAAAGUUUGUCCUGUCCUGGAUCAGUUUCUUUGUCAUGUAGCCAAGACUGGAGAAACAUUCAGUGGUCCCAAUUUAAAGACUAUUUUAUUUUCAAACCAGAGAAAGUGAUGGAUGAUUUCAGAACUUCAGCUUCUGAGCCAAGAGGACCUCCCAACCCUAAUGUUGAAUAUAUUCCCUUUGAUGAAAUAAAGGAAAGAAUACAGAAAAUUGUCACUGGAUUUAAUGGUAUCCCUUUUACUAUUCAGCAACUAUGUGAAUUGUUAACAGAUCCAAGGAGAAACUAUACAGGAACAGACAAAUUUCUCAGAGGAGUAGAAAAGAAUGUGAUGGUUGUUAGCUGUGUUUAUCCUUCUUCAGAGAAAAACAAUUCCAACAGUUUAAAUCAAAUGAAUGGUGUUAUGUUUCCUGGAAAUGCACCAAGCUAUACUGAGAGGUCUACUAUAAAUGGGCCUGGGACAUCCAGGCCACUUAAUCGACCAAAGGUUUCUUUGUCAGCCCCCAUGACAACAAAUGGGUCGCCUGAGAGCACAGACAACAAAGAGGCAAAUUUGCAGCAAAAUGAAGAGAAAAAUCACAGAGACUCUUCGACAUCUGAAACAGAAGUUUCCUCAGUGAGCCCUUUGAAAAAUAAACAUCCAGAUGAAGAUGCUGUGGAAGCUGAGGGGCAUGAGGUAAAAAGACUCAGGUUUGACAAAAAAGGCGAAGUCAGAGAAACAGCCAGUGAAACGACUUGCAGCGAAAUUUCUUCAGUUAUGGUAGAAGAAACAGAAGCAUCAUCUUCAUCUCAGGAUAAAGACAAAGCCGUUGUACCCAGCAGCGCGUACAGAAGAGGAUGAAGAAGAGGAUGAAGAGGAAGAAGAAGAGUCUUUUAUGAUAUCAAGAGAAAUGAUCCCAGAAAGAAAAAAUCAGGAAAAAGAAUCUGAUGAUGCCUUAAGUGUGAAUGAAGAGACUUCUGAGGAAAAUAAUCAAAUGGAGGAAUCUGAUGUGUCUCAAGCUGAGACAGAUUUACUACAUUCUGAAGGUAAUGAAAACGAAGGCCCUGUAAGUAGUGGUUGACUACCAUGAAACAGAAGAAUUAGUAGGAUCCAAUUCCAGUAAAACUGGAGAGAUUCUUUCAGAAUCAUCCAUGGAAAAUGAUGACGAAGCCACAGAAGUCACCGAUGAACCAAUGGAACAAGACUAUUUAGAAACAUUUAGAUGCAGUAUUUCACAUACAGUUCCGAUUUUAACACCGUAUAAAACUUUUAUGUAAAAAAGUGGACCUUUAGUUUUACAAGAAAAGCAGGUUGUAAAAUAAAGUACUUUAUGGACAAUUCCUGAAAGAGUUGUACAUGUAAGAACUGUGAAUAUCAGCUCCUCUGGGUCCUGCUUACCUUACCGCUGAUUUUUUUCUUUCUUUCUUUCUUUUUUUUGGUCUGGGCAAAUCAGUGGUUUGUGUAUAGUUUUUUUUUUAAUUUAGGAUUGAAGCUUCUAAACUGGAAGGUAAUUAUAAUUUUGAAAAGAUUUUUGAGAUUAUCACAUUUAGUUUAUACAUGUGCAAGAAGCUUUUUCUCUUGUCUCUUUCUGAUAGCUCUAGCAGUUUUCAUAUUUUGGUCAUAGUUUCAACAUUUUAACAUGUGACUAAUAGGGUUUCAUGCUGGUUUACAGAUUUUAUUGUUCGGCUACAUACAAUGGAACUUUAAGUUUUAUAUAUAUAUAUUAUUCUAAGGGGGGAAAUGUUAUAUUUUUCUGUUUCUAUAAGAGAUGAAUACAGUGGAUACUUUUUCUAUUGGUAAUGAUUCAGUUCACCUCUUUCAGAAGACAUUUUCUUUCUCUUCUGAGUAACUGAAAUAAAAUCUGGCCUUUGUGAAACCCUGGAAAUCUUAAGUCUGUUGAAAUACCAGGUUAAACACAUUCCAAGAGAUCUGUUCAAACUCAAAUUCUUUUGUAUACUUCUGAGGUGCCUGAGAAAAAGACUUCAUUAUUUAUGAGAAAAUAUUCUUCAUUUUUGGAAAUUGUGUUCAAAUGUUAGCUUACUAUUUUGUAGAAUGAAUGUUUAUGAAGCUGAUAUGAGGCCAUCUCAGAAGAACCAAGCAGGUUCCUUGACCUUUUGCUUGCUUUUCUGAACACUGUGAAUAAUACACGUCUUUCUAAAUUAUUCUAGAGUAUGCAAAUGUCAACGGUAUGAAACACGACUGUACUGGAAAAGUUAAUAUAUUACUUUAGUAUGUACCUGAGCUAAAUGACUGAAACUUUAGGGGUGCAUAGAAACCACCAUAAUUUGUAUGACAUUUUGAAGUGAAUUAAAUAUUUUUGAACAUGAAAAAAAGAAAUAACUUUUUAUAGCUCUGCACGGGUCUAUUUUUCAAUUUAUAUUUUAUUUUACUAACUGACUGAAAAGACAUAUAUUGUGUGUGGUGUGUGAUUUUGUCUGUCAGGAUAAUCAUAGCUUAAUUUCUAUUAUUAUUAUACCAAUAUCAUUUAGUUUUUUUAAGCUUUUCAAUUCCUGAGGGUAUUAAUCAGGGUCUUUCUCUCUCCUGAGACAGAAAACAAAUCCAAACUGUGUAAGAGAAAAAGGAAUGCAUUGAUCCCAAGGACUGAGAAGCUCCCAGACUUAACUUGCUUGGGAUUCAGCUACAUGUACAGUUUCAAGUGGUGUCCUGAAACUCUCUCUACUUCCCCAACAUCGGCUCCGUGUUUGGCUCCACGAACUUCAGACUUAAAAAGCAUCACUGGCUCCUGACCAGGAUUCCAGCUCCACGAACCUCAAACUAGAACACCAGCCCGGCUUGUCCACAGGUCUCCAGCUCCAAAACCUAAGACAUCAGUGGCAGUACCUACUCCUCCUGGGGGCUCCAACUCUGAGACCCUCAGACUUGAACUGCAGCACCAGCUCUUCCCCAGAUCUCCAGCUCCACGACCCUCAACUAGAACACACCAGCUCCUCCCUGGGUCUCCAGCUCCACGACCCUCAACUAGAAACACACCACCUCCUCCCUGGGUCUCCAGCUCCACGACCCACAAACUAGAACCACACUGCUCCCCACUGUAUCUCCAGAUCCACGACCCUCAACUAAAAACACCAAUACCAGCUCCUCCGCGAGUUUCCAGCUCCACAACCUAAGACGUCAGAGGCAGCAUUGGCCCCUCACGUAGAUUCCAGCUCCGGGACCCUCACAUUUGAACCGCAGGACCAUCUCAUCCCUGCAUCUCCAGCUGCACAACACUCAAAUUAGAAUAACAUCAGCUCCUCCCCAGGUCUCCACCUGCACAGCCCUCGAAUGGGAACGUCAGCUCCUCCCUGGGCCUCCAGCUGCACAGCCCUAAAACUAGAACAUCAGCUCCCGCCCGGGUCGCCAGCUGCACCACCCUCAAACUGGAACAUCAGAUCCCCACGGGUCUCCAGCUGCAGGGCCUUCAAACUGGAACAUCAGCUCCCCACCGGGUCUCCAGCUGCCUGGCCCUCAAACUGGAAC